rnacentral:misc_RNA from 1 species
UUUCUUCGCUCGUUUGGUCAGCAGCAGCAGCAGCAGCGCCUAUAGUGCGAAGCAGCUUAUGCACACAUAUAUACAAAACGGAGCAGUAGUGGCAGCAGCUCGCAACAACAACAUAAGCAGCUCGUUCUCCGCCGCAGCUGUUGUGGGCUUUAUACACGCCGACCGCUCUACGUGCUCCUUUUAAUUUCUGUUUUACUUUUUACGUUCUCGACGCUCGUUCGGUCUAUCGCGAAAUCGCUUUAAACCCGAAGCAUCGAGCUCCUCGAAGCAGUGCCGAGUGAUAAGUUUUCCAGGCGAAUCCCGUGCAAUACAGGCUCCUCUGCCACAAUUUGUCCUUCGCACACUCGCACGGGGCAGGUGGUGAUUUUUCCCCACCAUCAUCCUAUUCUCUUUCUCUCUGUGUCAGUGUAUACUAUACAGAUAUAAAGCAUAUAUACCAUAGCCUAUGUAUACGUGCGUGUCCUCUCCUUAGUGUAUUGUAACUGGAAAAUUCGUUCUGUACAAAGACUUCGAUCUUGAAUGCCACUGAGCUCAUGCACGCUCAUGGAGAGCAGUAAAACUCGCGCACAUAUUACCUGUUGCCAUCGUCUUUCGAGUGAAUCAUAGCAGUUUUCGAGAUAUGCCUCAUCGGCCUCGCUGACAGAUGAUCAUUUUUACACUUUUAUAGUACAUUUUUUACCUAGUGUUACUUUAGACGAUAUUCAUAAUGUGUGACUCGGCGGACCCUUCGCUUAUCCAAAAGCUAUCUUACCUGCGUUUCGACGAUGACGUUCCAAGAGUUACUGGAUCCAGACCCGAAGCACAGGUACCAGUGAAAAAAUCAGUUGGUGCCAUCGAGAGUUUUUUAGAGAGUGAUAAUCAUCAACAUCCAGAAUACAAAAUGUAUGAGAGAGAUAACUUGAUAGCUUCAUCCAGAUUUGCUACACCAAAAGCAGUGGAACAAUUAGAUGAUAGAGAGAAGAAAGAUUCUCCAGUUUAUGAAAAUAUUGACUACCAUUCCCAACAUUCAGGACAAAAUUAUCCUCCUUACUUUCAUGGAGUGGAAAGAAGAAGAUCCAUACAAAGUCCUAGAACAUCUAUAGCAGGGGAUCAUUAUGAUCCUAAUUACAAGCAACAGGCUUGUAUGAAUGCUCCAGACGGACUUACUUUGUUAAAAAAAGCUCAACCUCAAGUACCUACAAGCAAUCGUUAUCAAACUGCAUCACCGGCAAAAGAACUACCACCAUAUGAAGCACCACCAGUUUAUGAAAAUAUUCAGGAUGUUCAAUAUGCGACAGAAUCCAAUAAACCCAAAGCUAAGCCUCAAGUUCCCACUAGUUACUACAAUUCUUUGAAUCUUAAUGGUGGUGAUUAUGUAGUAAUGACAGGUAAAGGAACUUCUGCGUCAAAUCAAAAAUCAGCUCUAUCUCUGCAAGAGAGUUUAAAUCGUUUACAAAAUUAUGAUCAUCUAUUACAAAGAUCCUACGACCAAACUCUUUGUAAUAAAUAUUUAACGUCAGCUAUAGAUCAGCUUAACAAUAAGAGUACCUAUGUUCCACCUUCAGAACUUCAGCAACAUCAAAACUAUGCUUAUGAACAACAGCCUCAGUCACAGUUUCACACUCGGGUUAAUUCCUCAUAUCAUCCAGAAUCGUCAACUGCUCACUAUCCUAAUGAAACACCUCAGCAGCAACAGCAAUACCAGCAUUAUCGCAAUGCAACUAUUGAUACACCUAGUCAACGUAAUCAUUAUCGGCAAGAAGAAAUUACAUCUGGUAAACAAUACACAGAGCAGGGACCUAUGAGUGCUAAUUCAAUGAAUGCCACUUAUUAUAAUGAUGCCCACUCACGAAGCUUGCCAGCUGCUUUUAAUGCUCCAAGGCCUUCUGAUCAACUCAGCAGAAACGUUCAUUGCUAUUCGCCAAGCCGUUCCGUUCAAAACAAUCAACAAACACAUCAUUCGGACUCUGGUACGUCAAGCCCAAGUCAUUAUCCAGCCUCGGAGCAGACGUCUUAUUCACCUAGUCCGUCUAAUGAACGUUCUAUGGAUCAACCAGCCGAAACACCACGGAAAUCAGUUCAAUUCGCAUCACGAGUAAGCUAUCCACGAAUUGCAUCUCAGGAAGUUGUAUCUCGAGUUCAACAAACCCCACGAACAUCGGAUGAUACGCUAUCGUACGGGCCCCGUAUAACAAGUUUACCUCCUGGAGUGACAAGUGGCAUAGCUGGUCCAGUAACUAUGAGCGAUGGAGUGCCACAAAUAAAGAAACAUUUCGAUCUAGAUUCUACACCGUCAAAUCCCCCGGCGAAACCUAUAAUGGGUAAAGGGCUUUUGCCCUUCAAUGUAACGUCUCGUUCAUCGGGACCAACUGAAGCGGAAAGAAAAAUAGAAGAAUUGACUCGGCAGUUGGAAGAAGAAAUGGAAAAACAAGAAGAAAAAGGCGAAUACUUUGGUAUUUGUCACACCUGCCGGCAAAAAGUGACUGGCGUCGGCCAAGCUUGUCAAGCCAUGGGUAACUUAUACCACACUAAUUGUUUUAUUUGCUGUUCUUGUGGACGAGCAUUGCGAGGCAAAGCUUUCUACAACGUCGAUGGACGAGUCUACUGCGAAGAAGAUUAUUUAUAUUCUGGAUUCCAACAAACUGCUGAGAAAUGUGCUAUUUGUGGCCAUCUGAUCAUGGAAAUGAUUUUGCAAGCAAUGGGUAAAUCAUAUCAUCCCGGCUGCUUCAGAUGCUGCGUCUGCAACGAGUGUUUAGACGGAGUUCCAUUUACUGUUGACAUAGAUAACAAGAUAUACUGCGUUAAUGAUUAUCACAGAAUGUUUGCACCUAAGUGUGCUUCAUGUGGUAAAGGAAUAACGCCCGUUGAGGUAAACGAUAUCGAAGGUACCGAAGAAACCGUGCGAGUAGUUUCAAUGGACAAAGAUUUCCACGUUGAUUGUUAUGUUUGCGAAGAUUGUGGUAUGCAAUUAACUGAUGAGCCAGAUAAACGAUGCUAUCCAUUGGAAGGCAGAUUGAUGUGCCGAGCAUGUCACAUUCAACGUAUUUCCCAUACGCAGCCCCGAGCACCACAGCCAGUCUCUGCUACUUAUCAAUUCAUGGGUUAAAACAUUUUAGAUAAUGUUUGAAUAUGGGUUAACCUUUAUCACUACGUUAUUGAAGGCCUGCAGCGGCACUCAGCUGCGGUAGCUGGUCGAGCCACGCAUGCGUCCGCGACACGUAAAAGGGAGGCUAAGUGG